UGGGGAAUAUUGGACAAUGGGGGAAACCCUGAUCCAGCCAUGCCGCGUGGAUGAAGAAGGCCCUAGGGUUGUAAAGUCCUUUCAGCGGGGAAGAUGAUGACAUUACCCGCAGAAGAAGCGCCGGCUAACUCCGUGCCAGCAGCCGCGGUAAGACGGAGGGCGCUAGCGUUGUUCGGAAUCACUGGGCGUAAAGGGCGCGUAGGCGGCUGCUUAAGUCGAGGGUGAAAGCCCGGGGCUCAACCUCGGAACGGCCUUCGAGACUGGGCGGCUAGAGAUCGGAAGAGGAGGGUGGAAUACCCAGUGUAGAGGUGAAAUUCGUAGAUAUUGGGUGGAACACCAGUGGCGAAAGCGGCUCUCUGGUCCGGAUCUGACGCUGAGGCGCGAAAGCGUGGGGAGCAAACAGGAUUAGAUACCCCUGUAGUCC
rnacentral:rRNA from 1 species